rnacentral:rRNA from 1 species
CCUACGGGAGGCUGCAGUGAGGAAUAUUGCUCAAUGGACGAAAGUCUGAUCCAGCGAAGUCGCGUGAGUGAUGACUUCCCUAUGUGUUGUAAACUUCUUUUAUAUGGGAAUAAAAUGUUCCUCGUGUGGGACUUUGUAUGUACCAUAUGAAUAAGGCUCGGCUAACUCCGUGCCCGCAGCCGCGGUAAUACGGAGGAUCCGAGCGUUAUCCGGAUUUAUUGGGUUUAAAGGGCGCGGAGGGGGAUUGUUAAGUCAGUUGUGAAAGUUGGCGGCUCAACCGUAGAAUUGCAGUUGAAACUGGCGAUCUUGAGUACAGUAGAGGGGGGCGGAAUGCGGGGUGUAGCGGUGACAUGCUUAGAUAUCACGAAGAACGCCGAUUGCGAAGGCAGCUCACUGGACCGCAACUGACACUGAGGCUCGAAAGUGUGGGUAUCAAACAGGAGUAGAUACCCGAGUAGUC